rnacentral:rRNA from 1 species
UCCGUAGGCGGAUCCGUAAGUCAGGGGUGAAAUCCCGGGGCUCAACCCCGGAACUGCCUUUGAUACUGGAAGUCUUGAGUAUGGUAGAGGUGAGUGGAAUUCCGAGUGUAGAGGUGAAAUUCGUAGAUAUUCGGAGGAACACCAGUGGCGAAGGCGGCUCACUGGACCAUUACUGACGCUGAGGUGCGAAAGCGUGGGGAGCAAACAGGAUUAGAUACCCGCGUA